ensembl:snoRNA
UCCCUCCACAUUUCCUUAUUCCUGAAGCCUAAAUAGUGGUUUGAGUGGCUUAAAAAUAUAAGAGGAGGAAAAGUAAAACUGAAAUGGACUUGAAAUCGGUAGUGACAAACAAGUUCAUAUCAAACAAAC